ACACUCCUGCGGGAGGCAGCAGUGGGGAAUAUUGGACAAUGGGCGCAAGCCUGAUCCAGCCAUGCCGCGUGAGUGAUGAAGGCCCUAGGGUUGUAAAGCUCUUUCACCGGUGAAGAUAAUGACGGUAACCGGAGAAGAAGCCCCGGCUAACUUCGUGCCAGCAGCCGCGGUAAUACGAAGGGGGCUAGCGUUGUUCGGAUUUACUGGGCGUAAAGCGCACGUAGGCGGACUAUUAAGUCAGGGGUGAAAUCCCGGGGCUCAACCCCGGAACUGCCUUUGAUACUGGUAGUCUUGAGUUCGGGAGAGGUGAGUGGAAUUCCGAGUGUAGAGGUGAAAUUCGUAGAUAUUCGGAGGAACACCAGUGGCGAAGGCGGCUCACUGGCUCGAUACUGACGCUGAGGUGCGAAAGCGUGGGGAGCAAACAGGAUUAGAUACCCGAGUAGUCCCAUGAU
rnacentral:rRNA from 1 species